rnacentral:rRNA from 1 species
UCCUACGGGAGGCAGCAGUGGGGAAUAUUGGGCAAUGGGCGCAAGCCUGACCCAGCAAUGCCGCGUGAAGGAAGAAGGCCCUCGGGUUGUAAACUUCUUUUAUCAGGGGCGAAGGAUGUGACGGUACCUGAUGAAUAAGCUCCGGCUAACUACGUGCCAGCAGCCGCGGUAAUACAUAGGGGGCAAGCGUUAUCCGGAAUUAUUGGGUGUAAAGGGUGCGUAGACGGAAGAACAAGUUGGUUGUGAAAUCCCUCGGCUCAACUGAGGAACUGCAACCAAAACUAUUCUCCUUGAGUGUCGGAGAG